rnacentral:lncRNA from 1 species
GACUGGAGGUGGAAACAGUCUUCAAACAGAAGACAUGUGUGUGAUUGAAUACCCUGUCGGGAAGGCAGCUGUGGCGGUUCAGACAGUUUCAAUGUGAGUCUUCAAAGACAAUGCAUUGGUUUCAGACAUUAUGAAUCUUGUUCUCACAGUUGCAAAAUGGCUGAUGGGCCUCUACCAACAUGUCCAUAUUCCAUGCAGACAUAAAUAAGAAGGGGGAGGGCAAACAACAUGUACCAACAGUUUAUUCAACAAAUUAAUGACAAGUAAGUAUUUUUUAAGUCUAAAAAACAAUAGCUUUCCUGAACCCACCCC